rnacentral:rRNA from 1 species
UACCAAAAACAUCGCCUCCUGCAACAUAAAGUAUAGGAGGUCCAGCCUGCCCAGUGACUACGGGUUCAACGGCCGCGGUAUAUUGACCGUGCAAAGGUAGCGCAAUCACUUGUCUUUUAAAUAGAGACCUGUAUGAAUGGCUAGACGAGGGCUUAACUGUCUCCCCCCUCCAGUCAGUGAAAUUGAUCUAUCCGUGCAGAAGCGGGUAUACUACUACAAGACGAGAAGACCCUUUGGAGCUUAAGGUACAAAAUUCAGCCACGUGAAACAACUCUAUAUAAAGCGAGAACUUAGUGGCCCUGAACUUUUCUUCGGUUGGGGCGACCGCGGAGGAAAUGCAAGCCUCCGAGUGGACUGGGCCAAACCCCUAAAGCUAAGAUAGACAUCUUUAAGCCGCAGAACAUCUGACCAAUAAUGAUCCGGCCAAUAAAGCCGAUCAACGAACCAAGUUACCCUAGGGAUAACAGCGCAAUCCUCUCCCAGAGCCCAUAUCGACGAGGGGGUUUACGACCUCGAUGUUGGAUCAGGACAUCCUGAUGGUGCAGCCGCUAUCAAGGGUUCGUUUG